rnacentral:rRNA from 1 species
UACGGAGGAUGCAAGCGUUAUCCGGAUUUAUUGGGUUUAAAGGGCGCGCAGGUUGUUUGAUAAGUCAGUGGUGAAAGUCUGUCGCUUAACGGUAGGAUUGCCAUUGAUACUGUUAGACUUGAAUAUGGAUGAGGUAGGCGGAAUGUGUAGUGUAGCGGUGAAAUGCAUAGAUAUUACACAGAACACCGAUUGCGAAGGCAUCUCACAAAGCCGUUAUUGACGCUGAGGCACGAAAGUGUGGGGAGUCAAACAGGAUUA